rnacentral:tRNA from 4 species
AUUACUUUGGCAGAAAAGUGUAAUGAAUUUAGAAUUCAUUUAUGUAAUUAAAAUUUACAAGUAAUA